rnacentral:rRNA from 1 species
CACGUACUGUGCGAACGUUAUUCGGAAUCACUGGGCUUAAAGGGUGCGUAGGCGGCGAAUCAAGUCAGGUGUGAAAGGUCUGAGCUCAACUGAGACAUUGCGCUUGAAACUGAUUUGCUUGAGUAUUUCAGAGGUGCGGGGAACUGCCAGUGGAGCGGUGAAAUGUGUUGAUAUUGGCAGGAACACCGGAGGCGAAGGCGCCGCACUGGGGAAUGACUGACGCUGAGGCACGAAAGCCAGGGGAGCGAACGGG